rnacentral:rRNA from 1 species
AGUGAACGCUGGCGGUAGGCCUAACACAUGCAAGUCGAACGGCAGCACAGUAAGAGCUUGCUCUUACGGGUGGCGAGUGGCGGACGGGUGAGGAAUACAUCGGAAUCUACUUUUUCGUGGGGGAUAACGUAGGGAAACUUACGCUAAUACCGCAUACGACCUACGGGUGAAAGCAGGGGAUCUUCGGACCUUGCGCGAUUGAAUGAGCCGAUGUCGGAUUAGCUAGUUGGCGGGGUAAAGGCCCACCAAGGCGACGAUCCGUAGCUGGCCUGAGAGGAUGAUCAGCCACACUGGAACUGAGACACGGUCCAGACUCCUACGGGAGGCAGCAGUGGGGAAUAUUGGACAGUGGGCGCAAGCCUGAUCCAGCCAUACCGCGUGGGUGAAGAAGGCCUUCGGGUUGUAAAGCCCUUUUGUUGGGAAAGAAAAGCAGCAGGUUAAUACCCCGCUGUUCUGACGGUACCCAAAGAAUAAGCACCGACUAACUUCGU